CUUAUUAGAUUAUCAAAUGUCAGUUUGUAAACCACUUCUUCCCUGCUCUAAUGGAUAUGUAAGCCAAAUGCAACAGGGAGAUGGAAACAAUUUUAUCUCAGCAGGUGCUUUUCAAAGACAAUAGAGUAAAAACUAAGUGGGGGUUACCCUGUCAGGUUCUGGGUGACUAACACAGGCUAUACGUUUUCUUAGGAACGGUUACCCUAAUAAACAUAUCUGGUUGUAAGAGUUCAAAAUCCAUUAAGGUUGUUUAUAGCUUUCCAUAUUUCUUUUCUAACAUUUGUAGUGUUUUUUUUUUUUGAAUGAUUUAUAGUUAUCAACUUUAAAUUUUGUUUUAAACUGUGUUUAAACUGAAUCUCAUUUUAUAAAUACCUCUGUUGCAAUAGAUACAGGGAAAGGUGUAUUAGAUUAUUAAGUGACCUUUUUCUUUUGCAUUAUUGCAGAAAGCUUUUCAUCAAUUCUGAUAACGAUUUAAUUGGUAGUUAAUUGGUAGUUAAUAUGAUCACUCAUUGCUCUGUCCACUAACCUUUCUGUGAAGUGUAAACUCUUUUAAAUGAAACUCCUGUCUUCCAUGCUUUUACAUUAUAAUGAAAAUUUCCUGGGCAUCGUAGAAUUUGUAUUUCAGUAAAAACCACUGCAGUCAAAACUGAUGAUAAUGCCUAACUUGGAUGAAAAUUUCAGUUAACAGUUUGCUGAUAACAUGGUUGAUAAUAUAUGUAAGAAAUGUUUUGUACAUGAGAUUUCAGUGGUGAGGAAGUACAGCACUAGUAUUCUUCGAUAAUCCUCCUAUACCGAAUUUCUGAUAUAUUUGACUGUCAAUUAGAAAUUACUCAAAUUACGAAAGGGUUUUUUAUUUUAAAGAGUAUUGAGAGGUAUCUUUAAACAAUGUAUAAUAUUGUCUAAUUUAAAAUGAGAUUUGCACACUGAUUUUCUAGGAGCAUAUAGUUCUUUUAAAAUUAAGGCAAUAUUUGAACCAUCAUUGGAACUUAGCCCAGUGUGGAAUUAGGGGAAAAGUAAAGAAAAAAGAUAAUUUGGCCGGGCACGGUGGCUCACGCCGGUAAUCUCAGCACUUUGGGAGGCCAAGGCGGGCGGAUCACGAG
rnacentral:lncRNA from 10 species